UACGGAGGGUGCAAGCGUUAAUCGGAAUUACUGGGCGUAAAGCGUGCGCAGGCGGUUUGUUAAGUCCGCUGUGAAAUCCCCGAGCUCAACUUGGGAAUUGCAGUGGAUACUGGCAAGCUGGAGUAUGGUAGAGGAAGGUGGAAUUCCCGGUGUAGCAGUGAAAUGCGUAGAGAUCGGGAGGAACACCAGUGGCGAAGGCGGCCUUCGUGGACCAAUACUGACGCUCAUGCACGAAAGCGUGGGGAGCAAACAGG
rnacentral:rRNA from 1 species